CUUUGAGAUUAAAUUUAUCUUUUGCAGACUUUGUUUGUCAGAGAUAUGUGUACAUGAAUACAUAUAUUCAUAUACGCAAAAACACAUAUAUGGUAUGUAUAUAUUUACAAAUAGUACUGAAUGGGAGAAGAUAUUAAGUGAAAGGCAUUUUUCACGCAGCGUUAAAUUUAAACAAGGGAAAAAAUAAGAUGUAUAUCGAAUCUUUUGGGUUCUUGAGUGAUAUAUUGUAUGAUCUGUUGUUUUGUUUAAUAAUUGUUCGUUUGACAAAAGUUCGUAGAUCCUUUUCUGUCUUUGAAGUGGAGGAAUUGCAGAAGAAUGCGGCGAUGGAACGAGAUUAUAACAAUAUGCGGUUCAAUUAUAUUAUGUAUAUUGCAGUUAUGCCAGAUGCACACUUAGAAAUCAUUUCUAUUUUCUUUUUUUUUUCAUGUUCGAAUUAUCGGUCAGAGUUUACGCCGCUCUCUAAAUUGGCCGUGUGAUCAUAGAAUUUUAUUUGUCAUUAUUUAUCGGAUUGUGUAAAUUAUCGAUUGAAUUUAAACACUGAAUAUUCUGCAUUAUUCUUGGACAGAAUCAUUUUGUUGUGUAUACAUGAUAUAUGUUGCAGAAAUGUAUGUAUGUGUAAAUACAUUCUUUAUUUUCUUUUUUUUUUAUCGAAGCAAUCGAGAUGGAAUCGCGUGCGCAAAUGCACACGACCGUAUUCUUCAUCUCUCUUCCGAGGAAGGAUAAAACGAAAUUCUCGGAGGUAUAAAUUUAUCAUCGUCCGUGCGGAGCCAUUUUUCCUUCCGAAUACGCGAGGGGAGCAUUUUUCUGCGAUUUCUACCCUUUCAUAUAUACAGCGAGAGAAGGAACUUCUCCGUCACAGCAUAAACUGUCACUGCUGCUUUAUUUAUUCAGUGAUUCAAUGAGACUUGCUUAAAUCUACUAACGUUAAUAUUAUAUUAAUAAUCAUUUGUUGAAUAUUGUAUAAAUUUUUUCGUUGAAAUUUUGUAAUUCAUUUAGUAUUACAGCAAGAUGAUCUGCGAUACGAUACGCUUCUGCGACAAACUCCAGAAAUAUCAGAUGUUGUUGACGCAGUAAAAGUGCCUCGAGAACAUGAUAUUAUUCCACAAUAUCGUAAUUAAAAUGACAAAAUCGCAGAAGGCUAUUUCUAUCGAGCAGAAUCGGCGUCUUCCUCGGCAAGUCUCUUCACUAUCCGUAAUAUAACAACUAACGAAACUCACCGGCGACAGUGACAAAUUCAGCCGUGUCGGCGAUUUCUUUUUCUCCGUGCAGUUUCCCAAGACGAGGCAGUAAUCAAGCGGCGAGCGAUUCGUGGACUCGUAUAAUAACUUCCCGACUGCUUCCACACUCCGCCUGCUCGAGCGUACGCGUUUUACGGCUUACACCCUCGUGACCUAAAACUCCAAAAAAAAAAAAAGGGAAAAACGAGGAAAGAAAGGAGGAACA